UGAGGAAUAUUGCGCAAUGGGCGAAAGCCUGACGCAGCAACGCCGCGUGGAGGACGAAGGCCUUCGGGUCGUAAACUCCUUUUCCGGGGAACGAGGAAGGACGGUACCCUGGGAAUAAGUCUCGGCUAACUACGUGCCAGCAGCCGCGGUAAAACGUAGGAGGCGAGCGUUAUCCGGAUUUACUGGGCGUAAAGCGCACGCAGGUGGCUUCGUAAGUCGGACAUGAAAGCUCCUGGCUUAACUGGGAGAGGCUGUUCGAUACUGCGGGGCUUGAGGUUGGGAGAGGGACGUGGAAUUCCCGGUGUAGUGGUGGAAUGCGUAGAUAUCGGGAGGAACACCAGUGGCGCAAGCGGCGUCCUGGCCCACACCUGACGCUGAGGUGCGAAAGCGUGGGGAGCAA
rnacentral:rRNA from 1 species